rnacentral:rRNA from 1 species
AUUGAACGCUGGCGGCAGGCCUAACACAUGCAAGUCGAGCGGGGUUUUCGGACCUAGCGGCGGACGGGUGAGUAAUGCGUAGGAAGCUACCCGAUAGAGGGGGAUACCAGUUGGAAACGACUGUUAAUACCGCAUAAUGUCUACGGACCAAAGUGUGGGACCUUCGGGCCACAUGCUAUCGGAUGCGCCUACGUGGGAUUAGCUAGUUGGUGGGGUAAUGGCUCACCAAGGCGACGAUCCCUAGCUGGUUUGAGAGGAUGAUCAGCCACACUGGAACUGAGACACGGUCCAGACUCCUACGGGAGGCAGCAGUGGGGAAUAUUGGACAAUGGGCGCAAGCCUGAUCCAGCCAUGCCGCGUGUGUGAAGAAGGCCUUCGGGUUGUAAAGCACUUUCAGUAGGGAGGAAGGGUGUUGUGUUAAUAGCACAGCAUUUUGACGUUACCUACAGAAGAAGCACCGGCUAACUCCGUGCCAGCAGCCGCAGUAACAC